GCAAACAGAAAUUCAUAUAAAUGGCCCUGUCUCUCUAGAGUCUUCUUGAGCCUCAUCCCUUCAUCGGAGGCUGAUCUUCAUCUUCAUCUUCGUCUUCGUCAUCCCCUUCUUCUUGUCUGCCCAAUUUCCUCUUGGGACGUCCUCCCUUUCGCUCUUCUUUAUCUCCAGGAGACAAUGCUAGAUCCUAGAGGUUUCGUGUGCGAUUAUUUCAUAGCUAGCUUUGCCUUCAAACUCAGUCGCCCAUUCUUUUUUUUUGUCAUAUGAACAUGGGUUCGAGUUAAAUCCGUCGACAUAACGAUUUUGAGCUUUUGUCAUCGGACCUUGGUGGGUUCAAAAAGGAGGGCUUUAUUAUUAUUAUUAUUAUUAUUAUUAUUAUUAUUUUUUCCUUAGUUUUCUUGGGUUUGGAUCAAAGAGAGGAAGAAGCCAAGGCAUAGGUUGAAGUUAAGAGAAUCAAUGGCGAGUGGAGGAGAAGAGAAGAUGAAGACGAAGACGAAGACGAAGGAUUUGUACGCGGUUCUGGGGUUGAACAAGGAAUGCACAGCUUCCGAGCUGAGGGACGCUUAUAAGAAGCUCGCUCUGAGGUGGCACCCAGAUCGAUGUUCAGCUUCGGGAAGCUCCAAGUCCGUGGAAGAGUCCAAGAAGAAAUUCCAGGGAAUUCAGCAGGCGUAUUCCGUGCUAUCUGACGCGAACAAGAGGUUCUUGUACGAUGUAGGAGUCUACAACGACGACGACGACGAAAACCUCGGGAUGGGGGAGUUCUUGAGCGAGAUGGCCGUUAUGAUGAGCCAAACCCAGUCCGAUGCAAGUGGGAAGGAGACAUUGGAGGAACUGCAGGAGCUGUUCGAUGAAAUGUUUCAAGCCGACAUCGAGGCAUUCGCUCCCAACUCCCGCACUCUGAGCCCUACUGGGUGUUCGACUUCGUCCUCGACUUCGUACAUCUCUUACCGCACGAGUCCCAGCUCGAGUAAUAAGCGGAGCUCCUCAGAAAUCAGUAGAGUCACAUCCGGCUUCGAUGCCCACUUGCAGAGUUUUUGUUUUGGGGUAUGCGUUUAGGAUUAUGAUUACGCUCGAGGGACAAAAGGAAGGGUUAGAUUGAUCAUAAGUCAUUGCAAGUUGAGAACAGGUGGAGCAGGAGGAAGAUCUCAGGAUAGGAAAGAGGGUCGCCGGAGGAAUUGCCGGAGCAACCAGCGGCAGUAGGCGGAGGCAGGGCCGGAAAAGGAAAGAUUUUGUCAGGCGACGUUUGGUCAGACUGCUU